GUCCACGCCGUAAACGAUGUCAACUAGCCGUUGGUCUUAUUUAUAAGAUUAGUGGCGCAGCUAACGCAUUAAGUUUACCGCCUGGGGAGUACGGCCGCAAUGUUAAAACUCAAAUGAAUUGACGGGGGCCCGCACAAGCGGUGGAGCAUGUGGUUUAAUUCGAUGCAACGCGAAGAACCUUACCUACCCUUGACAUCCAGAGAAUCUGUUAGAGAUAGUAGAGUGCCUUCGGGAGCUCUGAGACAGGUGCUGCAUGGCUGUCGU
rnacentral:rRNA from 1 species